rnacentral:rRNA from 1 species
UACGAAGGGGGGCUAGCGUUGCUCGGAAUCACUGGGCGUAAAGGGCGCGUAGGCGGACUCUUAAGGUCGGGGGUGAAAGCCCAGGGCUCAACCCUGGAAUUGCCUUCGAUACUGGGAGUCUUGAGUUCGGAAGAGGUUGGUGGAACUGCGAGUGUAGAGGUGAAAUUCGUAGAUAUUCGCAAGAACACCAGUGGCGAAGGCGGCCAACUGGUCCGAAACUGACGCUGAGGCGCGAAAGCGUGGGGGAGCAAAUAGG